CUACGUAGGUGACAAGCGUUAUCCGGAUUUACUGGGCGUAAAGGGCGUGUAGGCGGUCUUGCAAGUCAGAAGUGAAAUUCCUGAGCUCAACUCGGGCGCUGCUUCUGAAACUGCAGGACUUGAGUGCUGGAGGGGAUAGCGGAAUUCCUAGUGGAGCGGUAAAAUGCGCAGAUAUUAGGAAGAACACCGGGGGCGAAGGCGGCUUUCUGGACAGUAACGCAGGCGGAGGCGCGAAAGCGUGGGUAGCAAACAGGAUAAGAUACCCUGGUCGACCACGCCGUAAACGAUGUAUACUAGGUGUAGGGGGUAUCGACUCCCUCUGUGCCGCAGUUAACACAAUAAGUAUUCCGCCUGGGGAGUACGGCCGCAAGGUUGAAACUCAAAGGAAUUGGCGGGU
rnacentral:rRNA from 1 species